rnacentral:rRNA from 1 species
GACGAACGCUGGCGGCGUGCUUCACACAUGCAAGUCGAGCGAGGCCCUUCCUUCGGGAAGGUGCCCUAGCGGCGAACGGGUGAGUAACACGUGGGCAACCUGCCCUCAGCUCUGGGAUAAGCCCGGGAAACCGGGUCUAAUACCGGAUACGAACCACGCAGGCAUCUGCAGGGUUGGAAAGAUUCAUCGGCUGAGGAUGGGCCCGCGGCCUAUCAGCUUGUUGGUGGGGUAACGGCCUACCAAGGCGACGACGGGUAGCCGGCCUGAGAGGGCGACCGGCCACACUGGGACUGAGACACGGCCCAGACUCCUACGGGAGGCAGCAGUGGGGAAUCUUGCACAAUGGGCGAAAGCCUGAUGCAGCGACGCCGCGUGAGGGAUGACGGCCUUCGGGUUGUAAACCUCUUUUGCGGGGGACGAGAACGGACGGUACCCCGCGAAUAAGCCCCGGCUAACUACGUGCCAGCCGCCGCAGUAAAAC